AUGGAACCCCUGCAAACAAUUUCUCGAGUCUAUUGGACAAUAUUCUUUUCUAUUUGUCUGUGUCUUCACUCUUCAAUGUUCCUUUUGAUCUACUACCGCACAAGUCGAACCAUCAGAAACUUACGGUGGUUUUUAUAUCCUUCGAACACGGCCUCUUUCGUACUUGCUACAGUUGCUUUUAUAUUGCAGAAAUGUCAACAACAAAAUCUCAAUGGCUCUGCUUUGUGAUGGGAUUUGCAAGUUCAUUGGUCCAUGGUUUUGUUAUCACUGUUACAAUUUGCUUUUAACUAUGAUCACUGUAACCGGCCUGAUCAAUCUACACACGUUGUGUUACCGUACAAUGUGUCUAAAGCAUUUUGAGACUCGAAAAUCUAAUCGGGCAUCGCUGAAGUUCUCGCUGCAUUAUUUGAUACCGAUGACCCCACUUAUUCUCACCUACUUUGCCCCAAUAAACCACGCAGAUGUCUACAUGGAAACCCUGAACCUACACCCAAACUACAACUUUGAACCUUAUAAAAAUUUCGGUGGAUUCGCCAAUUCCCAUCAUUUUUGUAUGAAUUUCAACACAGCGAUUUAUGCAUUUAAUACAAUUUAUUUUCCAAUAAUUGGCAAUUAUUGGAAGCGUAUUGCUAUGAAAAUUCUCAAAUCUAGCAUUUCAACGGCAUCAUCGAAAUCGACACGAGUUAUGAGUGAACUGUUGGUUAAGGGCCUUAAUCUUCAAGUACUCUUACCACUUAUCUGCUAUGUUCCUAUCAGUAUACUUUUUUGCUGGAAUAAAUAUUCUGGACAACAAAUCGAGAUAUCACAGUAUUCGAUCGCGUUUUUCGGCACUCUUCCUUGUUUUUUCGAUCCACUGCUCCAAAUCUAUUUCAUACUACCCUAUCGGUCUGCGGUCCGGAGAUUAAUUUUCUGUGGCUGCUCAGCACAAACCAGUGUGGCGAAUUCUAGUCCGAAUCGGGGAACUAUACUUUCUGUUUAA
rnacentral:misc_RNA from 1 species